AUUGAACGCUGGCGGCAUGCUUUACACAUGCAAGUCGAACGGCAGCGCGGGCUUCGGCCUGGCGGCGAGUGGCGAACGGGUGAGUAAUGCAUCGGAACGUGCCCAGUAGUGGGGGAUAGCCCGGCGAAAGCCGGAUUAAUACCGCAUACGACCUGAGGGUGAAAGCGGGGGACCGAAAGGCCUCGCGCUAUUGGAGCGGCCGAUGUCGGAUUAGCUAGUUGGUGGGGUAAAGGCUUACCAAGGCGACGAUCCAUAGCUGGUCUGAGAGGACGACCAGCCACACUGGGACUGAGACACGGCCCAGACUCCUACGGGAGGCAGCAGUGGGGAAUUUUGGACAAUGGGGGCAACCCUGAUCCAGCCAUGCCGCGUGCGGGAAGAAGGCCUUCGGGUUGUAAACCGCUUUUGUUCGGGAAGAAAUCCUCUGGGCUAAUACCCCGGGGGGAUGACGGUACCGGAAGAAUAAGCACCGGCUAACUACGUG
rnacentral:rRNA from 1 species